AAAGAUGUCGCCCGGGUCAUUAUUCAAAAAAGAAACUCAGAGAAUUCCCGACCUAACAGCCAGUCCUCCCGUUCUCUUCUUCUUCGCACGCUUUCUUCCUCGCUGCACGCCGCCGCUCUGCUCGUACGCCGCACGCCCCUCUGCCGUAUAGGUCCACCGGGUUCGCCCUCGACACUCCCCCUCCGCUGUCUAGCUCCACCGGGCUCCCGCUCCGCCGUCGAGCUCCCCCGUGCUGCUCCCCCUCCGCCGCCCAAAGGUUGGGUUUUGCUUGGAAUGGGGACGAGGGAGGCGAGAGCUGGUGCCCAGGCUGCCCAGCGCGGCGACUCCCUCCUCCUUCUCCUCCCCAUCCCUAGGUGCGCAGAAUCCCUCCUCCUCCGCCUCCCCACCCCUGGGCGCGCCGACUCCCUCCUCCUCCGCCUGCAACUGCUACGGCCGCCACCAGGUUCGAGCUGGUCCGCGCCGCGAGUACCUCAGGACCCCACUGAGGUACGGAAACUUCUCCAUUCUCCUCCGACUUGAUCGCAAAUCAUGUUCUCUGUUUGGUGAAGAACUAGCAGCAGUAGCAUAUAUAUCUCUGAACGACUAAUUGAUGUUUGGUGAUGCUUCGAGAAACAUGUUCAAUUUUCAAUUUACUAGGCCUGAGUAUGAUCUUUUUAUUGUUUGUUUGUUUGUCCUUCUCUAUGUUCAGUGGUAGAAACUCUGCACUGGAAGUGUCUAUGUUCAGUAUUUUCAGGUUUUCACGAGUCAGUAAACUGGCCCGUAAGAUUUUCAGGUUUCAGAUUGUUGUUGUUGAGGAGUAGAUAAAAUUUCCAUUAUAUCUUUCCAGAAAUUUGUUGAGACACUGCUAGCUGUCAACAAGAAAGCAUAAGGUUUGUGAACUUCUAGAGAUAGGAGAAAACUGUGGCAGGGUGUUGGACAUCCCUCUGAUUCAUUUAUAUAUAAGUUGGUUAUGUGAAUGAUUUCUAGAAGUGAAACUUGAGAUUCAGAGAAGUGGAUACUUGAGCACUGGUAUUUAUUUGUGUUUAAAAUUUUGCUGUGAGUACAAGUGUUUGAUUCAGGGUGGGACAAUAUCUGUUUAUUUCAGCAUAUAGGCUUGAUAGAAGCAAUCAACGUGCAAUUCUCUGCUGCUAACAAUACUACUCCACUGCCUUGGUCCAUUUUUUCAAACAACUUAAUUAGGUACCCAAUGCAUCUUUUGGCCUGAAUAUUUGAUGUCUCUGGAGUCCUUUUGGUCAGGGUGAUGGAUAUGCUUAAUGCAUCUUUUGGCCUGAAUCUAAACGGCAUGUGUCUUUUGUUUAGUAGGUACUGCAUUUUCUGUUGAAUUAAUAAAAAAUAGCAUGCUCUGUUCUGAUUUUCUGAUCUAAAUAGAAGUAGUAUACUGAUCUUGGCAGGCAACUGAAAAUGUUGUCAAGUGAUCAAGUAAUUCAGAAUUAAGUAACAUUUUCUGUUGAAUUAAUAAAAAAAAUAGCAUGCUCUGUUUUCAUUUUCUAACUGAUAUUUAUUGUUCAGUAUGUUCUUUUCGUAUUAGCUGCAUACUAGUCCACAGAUUGGAUUAAUUGUUUGUUGUCCACUCCUUCAAAUGUAAGGAUCGGUUUUCUGCAGGUCCAUUACUUGAAGAGGAACAUAGCUCAAUUUUCUGGUUUUGUUUGGACUGACAAUGAAGUGAGUUUUUUUCAUGAUGGUAUUGUGUUGUGCGAAACAUGUUAUUUUUUUGUAAUGGAUGUUUGUUUGUUGUUUUUUAUAUCUAAUUACCACCAUGGACUAUCUAGAAAUUGUUUAUUUGAAAUUGCUAUUUGUGAAUACCACUUGUGCAUUGAUUUUGAAAACAGAAAUUUAUUAAGCAACAGCUUUCUUUCAUGACACAAGUACUCAUAUUUUUUCAAUCGAACAAAACUUCGAGACUACACUUGUUUCUUUAUAAAAAAAAUCAUACACAUGGUAAUAUCAUACACAAGUAUACACAAGUACUAUCAUACACAUGGUAAUCUCAUUCUCUUCCUUUCUCUACCUCACAUUUUCCUUCUCAAACUCUCCUUCUAUAAGUGCUUUGGUUUUUGCUAGUAAAUCUGCCGUGAUAAAUGGUAGCUUCCCUUCUACGUGCUCCUUAUGCUUGUGCGGGACGUCGUAGCCAAUUGUUCCUUCCACUUUCAUAGCCUCAAUCAUACGGUAAUGCAAUGUCAUGAAGCUUCGAGCGAGCUUCUGGACAUCGUAGUUAUUGUAUUCUUCCUCCACACCCUCUAUUAAUUCUUUGAUAGUUGCUAGUGCUCUGCAAUCGAUGAGUGACUGUAGGGACCUGAAGAAGCACAGGUCGAGGACAUUCAUGUCCGUACUGUUUGGAGGCUGUUGUAUCAACUUAAUGUCUAGAUCAGUCUCGUCCACGACCCGUCAAAAAGGAUCAUCAGUAGGGAGGAGAUGAGGUUAGCGUUAUCUUUUUGUAUGAGGAUUGUUGUCGGAGCACGGUCUCCGGCACCAGGGAUGCCGAGCACCCCCUUUUUGGUUCGGUGCCCCCCCUGCAGCGGCGCUCGCAUCCGGCGUGGAUGUACACCGGGGCCGGCGACCGGACCCGGCUGCAGCGCACGGACCUUCUCCCGGAGGAAGUGUAGUUCUGGGUGAAGGGUAUCACCGGCGAGGACGAGCCCUACCGGCUGCUCCCGCCUAGAGCGCACUCGCUCCACGCCGGGAUCCCGAACCCGGGAGCCCGGGAUCUCCCACUCUGCGACGAGUGGGGGAUCAUGGAGGACCCCUUGGCGCAACCCUCACCCCCGCAGCCUCGGUCCCAGAAGGGCAAGGAACCGGCUACCGACUCGGGGAAAGGGAGCCAAGGCCAGGCCUCCGCCAAGGCAGAGGGCUCGGACUCCGACGACUCCUCGUUGGGCGUCAGAGGAGACCUCAGCGACGACGACGUUCCCCCGUCAGCCGGUGAAGUCGUGCCAGAGGAGGACGACGAGGAAGAUGACGUCCCACUGGUGAGGUGGUCCGCGGCGCGCGGACGGGCAGGCGGGAGGCCAGCCCGGAGCUCCAGGGGCCUCACGGCGACGCGGGGGCUAGGGUCUCCGGCGGCAGCGGCGCGGCCGCAGCAGCCGCCCCGACCACCCCGGCAACUCCGACAGCUACCCAUGUGCGAAGCGGCCCUCCGGCGAGGAGCAUCCUGGCGGACAGGGUGCUGAAGCUCAAGCCGGUGGGGUAAAUCCAAUGUCGUUCAGAGCAACUUUGAUUUCGCGAAAUUAUUUUGUGCCUGACUAAUUCAUUUUCGCGUUUUCCAGUUCGUCGAGGAAGAGGGGGCAGACCAGCGUGUCUCCGGCAGCCCCAACCAAGAAGCCUCGCCCAGCAUCGGGCGGCGGCGACCGAGAUGCUGCGGGCGCAGCAGUUGCGACGGCGGCAACGGCCGCGGGGGACCAAAGGAUCCGUGACUCGAGCUCGUAGGGCACCGGACCGGCGGCAGGUACGCGCAAGUUCGAUCACUUCCCUUAUUAUUCACGCCAAUCCCCACGCUUGACACAGGAGCCGUUCGUGCAGUUGCGGAGGGCUUCCGUCUGCGCCCGCGCCUACAGAGGUGCGGGUCAUUGACCUCACUGGUGAGGUCGACGACGAUGCUCCGACGGAGGUUGCCUCCGCCGGAGCCCUUCGACAAUCUGUCACGGCGCCUGCCGGGGACGCGACUGCCGCCACCGAUGACGCCACGCAGGGGGCGCCAUCCGAGGCAGGCGGCGCAGAGCAGCCUCCACCAGCUGAGGCGGGCGGUGGUGCCCUGGAGAAGCCCUCGACCCCCCAGCUCGCCCGUUCGGACGAGCAGGGAGCAGCGGGGCUCGGCCAUGCCGUGGGCACGCCAUCAAAUUCCGAUGCGCCCUCGGGGUCGCAGACGGGUGCGGCGGGGUCCUCCUCCGCUGGAGCCGCCUUCAGCCUGGGAGCAGGGGAGCUCGCCGGGCGGACUUGUGGUCGGAUCACCUUCGACCCCAGCGUGUUCCAGCAGGGACACCACGUGAUCGACAACAUCCAGCACCAGCAGCGGAUGUUCGUCGAUUUCUUCAACGACGCGCAGAAGCACCACGCCCGCGUAGGGGCGGAACUCGGCCUAGCGCGACGGGAGGCGGAGGAGCAGCGCACCGAGCUGCAGCGGCUCCGGGAGGAGCUCCAGCAGGCGCGGUAGGCCAGGGCAACACAAGAGGGGUGCCGAAGGCGCAGGUCCUCCAGUAGCUGUGGGACCUCCAGCAAGAGCACAGCGGGAGCUCGAGCUGGUGAAGGCCACACACGCCAAGAGCGAGGAGGAGCAUCAGGCGGCUCUGGACUCGUUCCAAGGGCGUCUCCGGGAGAAGACGGACCUACUGUCCAGCUACUCCUUGGAGAUCCAGCGCCUCCGCCGUGAGGUCGGAGAGCUGGGAAUGGCGGCCACAACAGCAGUCGAAGCCUCGGCGCGCAGGGAGAAGGAGCUGUAGGACCAGGCCCGCUCCCGGGAGCGCGAGCUUGCGGGGCAGCUCAAGGCUGCCCAAGAUGCCAGCUCGUCCCUUUAGGGCGAGCUUGACAUGGCACGAUGGAACUCCGGCUGAUCAACGACGACAACACCAAGAAGGCGUCAGAGAUCGGUCGGCUGAAGUCCGAGUGCCGCGAGCACAAGCUGCAGGCCUAGGAGGCUCGCGGUGCGUGCACAGAGCUGCGGGCCCGCAGGACAGGGGAGGUGGCCAGGCUGAAGAAGCUGGCCGACUCGGCGGUGGAGGCGCUGCAGGGGUUCGACAUCCCUGUGGCUUCCUUUGAUGGGACAGACAUGGGGAGUUUCAGUUCGUUCUUUCAUAGACUUCGUCGGCCGGUUGAGUGGCCUAUAGAGUUGUGUCACGGCCUUUGGGGACCGGCAAGUCGGCCUUGCGGCCGAGCAGGUCGCCGGGCAGAUUCUCACCCGGGUCCACUCCGCCCACCCCGACUUCCCGUUCGAGUCGGUCUUCGACGCCUAGUCGGACGAGGAAGAGGGCAAGACUCACCGGGAGGCUGUGCAGGGCGUCGUGGACGAGAUGUUGCGCAAAUGCAGGGCAAGGUCGAAGGUGACGAAGCCACUGCUGACACUGAUAAUGACAAGGGAAAGCUAACAUAAAAAGUUCUAAGGUGCCACGCGCCACUUGUAGGGAAGUAAAAAAAAAGAGAAGGAAGGGAACUACGCGGGAGGUGCUCCCGAGGCGGCUGCUUCGGUGUCAGGGGCAUCCUCGGCAUUGGGGGCUUCUCCCGAUGCUAUUUUCACUUGCUUCUUUGCUUAAGACUAGCUUGCCGGGGAGGGGCUCUGUCCUUCUCGUGUUGUAGCCAUGCGUACCCGGGGACUCGCCAACCACGUGCUUGGCCAGACUAGGGACCCGGGACGGACCGGCGGUGCCGACCUAGGACCAAACAAUAGCGGCUAGUCACUCCGCCUGCGGGUUAACUACCCCAGCGCGCACGCUUCAAGGACGGACCCGCGAGCCACGUACGGGGGGCGUCCUCACCCCGCAAGCGUCCUUCCUACGCUCCGGCUACACGGGGGACGAGCUUACCCCAGCAAACCAGUGUUACUGAGGGGGAAAAACCAAGGACCCAAAAUGAGAUACUUAGCUUCCCGUUCUUUUUGGAUUUGUUGCACCUUGUUGAGAGCCGUGGCAAGGACACGGUGACAGUGCACCCUCCAGCGUUCAACGAGUACGGCGAGACACUCAUCUUCCCCGCCGGCGGCAACCACCAGGACAACGGUUCGGCCGCUUCAUCCUCGCUGGGUUCGUACCUCCGUACUCCCUCUUCGUCCAUGCUCUCAUGGCGGCGUACCAUGAGAGCAUGGAGCGAGAAGAAGAUCGAGAAGGAGUGGCGCGGGAGCUGGUGUUGGGUUCGCGUGGAUGAGCCCGACGAGUUCAUUCAUGCGCCCACUGAGCUGCCGGCGAGUAACGGCAGCUGGCGGGACCGCUACAGCUGAGACGCGGAACUCCUUCCCAUCAUCAAGAAGAUCGAGGCCCUGCGGCUAGCGGGGCUCACCGCUCUGGACGUGGCGUGCACCUACAUCAGCCGGCGCAUCGCGCCGCUGCAGCUGCCCGCCCCGCGCCUGCAAAGCGUGGGUGUGACGCCGGAGGUGAUCCAGGAGGGGGUGAAGGGAAUCACCGGCGAGGACGUCCCAUUCACGGAGCUGCCCCGAGGGCUCCAUCCCUUCACGCCGGCGUCACGGGCCUCCACGACAUCAUCGGCAGCUACCCACCCUGCAACAAGUGGGGGCUGAUGUCCGAUCCCCCGGUCCCAGCCCCGAAGCCUCCGCCACCCGCUGCCCGUGGGAAGCAAGUGGCCGAGGAGAGCGAGGGGGAUCGGAUUCCAGCUGGCCCGGCGACGAGUCCUCCGGCGACGAGGCUGGCGGUGUUGCCAGAGCACGGACGGUCCUCCCCGAGGUGGAGGUGGAGCACGAGGAUGACGUGCCGCUGGUGCGGCGACCAAGAGUGCCGGCGGCCGGGGCACCCCACGGGAGUUCAUCUCUCAUGGGUCCCACUGCCACAGCGGCCCCGGCUGCGUCGACAGCGCCGACGGCAGCAGCUACCCCUACAACGGCUGAAGGCGCCCCGGGGGCUGCGGCAACUCCACGAGGGUCCGCGGCCCCGCCCAAGAGGGGAAUCUUCACGGGUUAUUUGCUCAAGCUCAAUCCCCCAAGGGACAGCGCUCCGGCGGGAGCCGGCAAGAGGGGGAGGACCGACACUGCACCCACCGCGCCCAGUAAGAAACCGCGUACCCGGGCCAGUGCCAGUCAGACCGGCAUGAGGACCAGCGGCGCCGCCACUACGCCUGCCGCCGACCUGGUCCCAGAGGAGGAGGAGCCCGCAGCAGGCGAAACGCAGCCUGCGGGGGACAGCCCGGCAGCAGAAGCCGGGACAAAGGGGGACAAGCCUCCCCCCGCAAGCGCGACGACCCUGCAAGGUCCUGAUGCACUCCCAACAGGGGCGGACGAUACGGUGAUCGACCUCACCUCUGACGUCGAGGGCGCAGAGUUGAGGGACGAGCCGGAGGUGGCUCCCGUGCCAAGCCCUGCCGCCCCAGACGCGACGGUGGUGGCUCCCGCCGCCGCUACCGGAGCAGGACCCAACGGCGCGUCCCCGGCCUUAGGCUGGGGGCGCGAGUCCUGCGGCCGCCCAUCAGGAGACGACUCCUGCCGGGAGCGUGGCCCCUCCACCGGACCCGCAACCCAAGGGCGCAGGUGUGGAGGAGGACGUGGCUGAGGAGCAGCCGGCAGCCCCCCUGCAAGGGGACGAUGUCCCCCCCGACCAAACCAUGGCGGCGGGAGUCUCGUCGUCGUCCGCCGCUACCUCCAGCCCAGAUCUCGGCAUUCUUGCCGGGGCGACUUGGGACCCAAUCACCUGGGACCCAAGCAUCUACGAUCAGGGGCACCAAUUCCUCGACGCCAUCAAGGAGCAGCAGCUAGCGUUUGUCACCUCGUUCAACAAGGUGAGGGAGCACCACGAGCUCGCAAAGCUCCAACUAGGUGAGGUGUGGCUGGAUGUCGAGAGGGAGAGGAAGGAGCUCUCCCGGCUAAGGGAGGAGACCCCGUUGGCCCGGCAGACCAGGGACGAGGCCACCACGCCAGUCGUCCCCAAGGCGGAGCUCCUUUGGCAGCUGGAGGCCCAGCGCGUCGAGCACCAGCAGGUACUGGACUCGCUGGCCGCGGCGCGGGAGAAGGCCGACAAGGAGCAUGAAGACGUGAUGGCCACAGCUCAAGCUCGCCUCAACGAGAAGAGCGAGCUGGUCAGCGGCUACUCCUCCCAACUCCAAGCGUUGCGCGCGAAGUUGGAGGAGCAGGCCAAGGCUGCAGAGGACGCGGCAGCUGCGUCGGCGCGGCGGGAGAAUGAGUUGCGGGAGCAGUUCGGACUCGGGAGCGCGAACUCGUGGGGGAGCUCAAUUCCGCCAAGUAAAAGAGCGUCCAUCUCGAGUCCGAGCUAACCACUGCCCAGGGUGAGCUCGUCAACACUAGCGAGGACAAUGUGGGCAAGGCCAAGGAGAUCGUGCGGCUCACGAAACUCCUCCACAAGGCCAAGCUUGCGGUGGCGUUGUCACGCACCCACCACGACAAGUUGGCCGAGCAGCAGCGGAGGGAGACCGAGAAGCUGCAUGAGAUCGCCCAGGCUGUUCGCGCACUGCUGCUGAGGUUCGAGCUGCAGGCGGCGAAGGUGGACGGCACAGACGUCAGCACCCUGAUCCCGUUCUUCUCUGACAUGGUGGGAAAGCUCGGGGCGCUGGACGUGUGGAUCUCCAAGUUCUACGACGGGGAGAUAGGAUCGUGUGCCAGGGAGAUUGCCGAGACGAUCCUCCCCUGUGUGCACUACUACCACCCCGACUUCCCCUUCGAGGCGCUGCUGGACGCGUGGUCAAACAGCGAGGACGGCCCCUCCCACACGAGGGCGGUGGGCAGGUUCGUCGACGAGGUGGUGGAGCGGAUGCAGCCGGAGCUGGAGCCGGAGCCCCCAGCGGAAGACCCCGGCAGCAAGUCGUCGUAGUCCCCUAUUAUCUUUUGUUUUACUUUUGUUUCCUGCAAGUGGCGCUUGGUGCCGUUAAACAAUUAUGGUUUCAUUAGCCCAUGUAAUCGUUUGCUACUUUUAGAAAUUCCGCUUUCUGGUUCUA